rnacentral:lncRNA from 1 species
AAUUAACAAGGUACAAUUACCUUUCCAUAUGGGUCUAAAGUACCUGAAAGAUGUAUAAUUAAGGCCAAUUACCUUUCCAUAUGGGUCUAAAGUACCUGAAAGAUGUAUAAUUAAGGCCAAAGCCCAAAAAUGUAUAUAAUUGAUGUAAAGGAUAUAUGAUAUCUAAAAUAUUCUUAAUGGAUACUAGAUAACUUUAUGAAAAAAUAAAUUAAAUUAAAUUAAAUUAAAUUAAAAAAAAAAAAAAGCACACACACAUCAAGAAAUGAUCCCCAAUUAUUUAUUUUUAAUUAUACGGUAUAACUGGAUGUUAUACCAAACAAUAUUAUAUAGCCAGAAGCUAUAAAAUAAAUAAAUAAAUAAAUGUCCAUAGCUUGAUGCUAUGUACAAAUUUACAUAAUGAAAGUUCAUAGUCCGAAGCUAUGAAAAGAAAUAUAUAUAUAUAUAUAUUAAAUUUUAAUUCUUAUUUCAUAUUUCUACAUUUUUACCAUAUUUAUAAUUGAUAAAUUUUAGGUUAUUAUAUUUUUAGAUAUUGUUUACUUGAAAUAUCGUUAAAGCAUUUUUUUUAGUUUAUUAUAAUUGAAAUAUUUCUCAGAUUAAUAUUAUAUAUAACUUUCAGAUAAUGUCAAAUCUUGCAAAGCUUGAAUUUGUUGUCCUCGAUAUUUCGGGCAAGAACUACUUAUCUUGGGUUCUAGAUGCUGAAAUUCAUCUAGAUGCGAUGAAUCUUGGAAAUACCAUUAAAGAAGAAAAUGAUGCAUCCCUGCAUGAUCGUGCUAGAGCUUUGAUAUUCCUUCGCCAUCACAUUGAUGAAGGAUUAAAAGGUGAAUACCUUAUGGUUAAAGAUCCUUUCAUCCUUUGGAAUAAUCUAAGGGAACGGUAUGACCACCAAAAGACCAUAAUCCUUCCAAAGGCACGCUAUGAUUGGAUGCACUUGAGAUUACAAGAUUUCAAGUCUGUUAGUGACUACAACUCGGCCCUAUUCAAAAUUAGCUCACAAUUAAAAUUGUGUUGAGAAAAGGUCACUGAAGAAGAUAUGCUUAAAAAAACAUUCACGACUUUUCAUGCCUCGAAUGUGCUCCUGUAGCAGCAAUAUCGACAGCGUCGUUUCACUAAAUAUUCAGAAUUGAUCUCAUGUCUUCUGGUGGCUGAACAAAAUAAUGAGCUAUUAUUGAAAAACCAUCAAUCUCGUCCUACUGUGUCUAUUUCAUUGCCUGAAGCCAAUGCCACAUCUGUUCAAACCCUUAGACAUGGACAAGGACAUGGAUAUAGACGAGGUCGGGGAUGUGGUCGCAGUCGAGGUUGUGGUAAACACAAUUCUUCUCAUCGUAGUGGUUCUCAAAGUAAAAGGAACAACUCAAACCACCAGAAGUGAAAUAAAUCAGAGGCACAACCUGAAAAGGUGAUAGAACCACAAAGUAAACAUACUCAUGAGAAUAAAUGCCAUAGAUGUGGCAUGAAAGAACAUUGGUCACGUACUUGUCGUACUCCAAAACAUUUUGUUGACCUUUAUCAAGCCUCAAUAAAAGCAAAAGGAAAGGAAGUUGAAAUGAACUUCAUUGAUAGUGAUGGCCAAGUGGAUCUAACUCAUUUAGAUGUUUCGGAUUUCUUUGAGAAUCCUAAUGGGAAAAUUGACCAUCUAAUUGGUGAUAGAAAUGUUUGUUAUGAUUAAACGUUAUGUUUUUAUUUAGUUCUUUGCAAAUAGGUUUAUUUUGUUAUCAUCUUUGAACACAUUGUUUAUUAUUUACCUUUUAUAGUUUAUUCCACAUUUUACUUAAAUUCUUCUCUUUAUUUAUACUUGAAGAUACAUGGAUCUUUCUCAUACUUUGGUACAUCAUACGACAUCCAAUGUAGAUGCAUGUCUUAUAGAUUGUGCCACAACACACACAAUCCUUCGUGAUAAAAAAUAUUUUUCCAACAUAUCGUUGGGUAAGUCUAAUGUUAAUACAAUAUCAGGUCCUAUAGACUUGAUUCAAGGCUUCGGAAGAGCAACUAUUAUUUUACCCAAAGGAACUAAAAUCCACAUUAAUGAUGCCCUUUAUUCUGCUAAAUCCAAGCCAAAUCUUCUUAGUUUCAAGGAUAUUCGCCGAAAUGGAUAUCACAUUGAAACUAUGAAUGAUGAUAGUAAAGAAUACCUUCUCAUUACUUUAAUUAUUUAUGGGGAAAAACACAUCUUGGAAAAGCUUCCUUCUUAGUCUUGUGGGUUAUAUCAAACAAUCAUUAGACCCAUUAAAUCAUAUGCUGUCAUGAACCAGAAGUUCUAUGACUUAAAAACUUUUAUGAUAUGGCAUGAAUGUCUUGGUCAUCCAGGAUUAUCCAUGAUGUGUUGUAUCAUCAACAAUUCUUUAGGGCAUCCCUUGAAGAACCAGAAGAUUCUGAUGCCCAAUGAUUACAAUUGUGUUGCUUGCUCACAAGGCAAAUUAAUUAUUAAACCAUCAUUUACCAAGGUUGAAUAUGAAUCACCAGCCUUUUUAGAACGUAUUCAAGGUGAUAUUUGUGGACCUAUUCCUCCACCUAGUGGACCUUUUCGUUAUUUUAUGGUUUUAAUUGAUGCAUCAACUCGUUGGUCUCAUGUUUGUCUUCUUUCAACUAGAAAUAUUGCCUUCGCCAGGUUGCUUGCUCAAAUAAUUAGACUCAAGGCACAAUUCCCUGAUCAUCCUAUUAAGAAAAUUCAUCUUGAUAAUGCUGGUGAAUUUUCCUCUCAAACAUUUCUUGAUUAUUGUAUGUCGAUUGGUAUUGAUGUUGAAUAUCUUGUUGCUCAUACCCAUACUCAUAAUGGAUUAGCUGAAUCUCUAAUUAAGUGUUUGCAACUGAUUGCAAGACCAUUACUCUUGAGAACAAAAUUGUCCUUGUCUGCUUGGGGGCAUGCUAUUCUUCAUGCUACCACUUUAAUUUGAAUUCGCCCUACAGCUAAUCAUGAUUGCUCACCUUUACAACUUGCUUUAGGCUCCCAAUCAAAUGUUUCACAUUUUCGGAUUUUUGGUUGUGAUGUCUAUGUUCCUAUGGCUCCACCUCAACGUUCCGAGUUAGGACCUCAACGUCGACUUGAUAUAUAUGUUGGUUUUAAUUCUCCCUCCAUUAUUGGUUAUCUUGAACCUGUCAUAGGUGAUGUUUUUACUGCCCGCUUUGCAGAUUGUCAUUUUGAUGAAAAUGUUUUCCCGUCAUUAGGGGAAGACAAGUCAAAAGAAUGGCGAGACAUUACAUGGUAUGUACCCUCCUUGUCUCAUCUUGAUCCUUGCACAAGACAAUGUGAGUUAGAAGUUCAAAGGAUUGUUCAUUUGCAAAGACUUUCAAAUCAAUUACCUAAUGUUUUCACAGAUAUAAAGAAAGUAACAAAGUCACACGUGCUAGCUGUGAAUGCCCCAGCACAUAUUGAUGUCCCUGAAUGACAAUUGGAGAAUGUCAUAGCAAAUGAAUCUAAGACAUGCCUGAAGCGUGGUAGACUUAUUGGCUCAAAGGAUUUAAUUCCUAGAAGAAAAAAAAGGUACAACAUAUGAAAAACUUAGUACUCCUGAAGAGUUCACAAAUAUGAAAUGGUCAAAUGAUGAAACCCAACUUGACAAACAAUUAGCUUCUGAAGAAGCACAAAUUGAUCAAAUACCAGUAUCUAGAAUUGAAGAGAUCUCAAUGAGUCACAUGGGAGAAACAAAGGACCGUAGUGACAUUAUUAUAGAUAAUAUAUUCGCAUUCCAAGUGGCUAUGGACAUCAUGAGAAAUGAUGAAUAUCAAGAACCACAAAUUGUGAAUAAAUGUCGAAAAAUGAAAGAUUGGCCAAAAUGGAAAGAAGCAAUCCAAACUCGUUAACAAAUCAGAAGGUAUUUGGACCUGUAGUUCAAACACUUGGAAACAUAAAGCCUGUUGGAUAUAAAUGGGUCUUUGUGAGAAAACGAAAUGAGAAUGAUGAAAUCAUAAGAUAUAAAGCAUGACUUGUUGCUCAAGGUUUCUUUCAAAGACCUGGUAUAGACUAUGAGUAAACUUAUUCCCCUGUAAUGGAUGCAAUCACAUUUCGAUACUUGAUAAGUUUAACAGUCUCUGAAGGACUAGAUAUGCGUCUUAUGGAUGUUGUCACAGUCUAUUUAUAAAAUAUGAGAAUUUAUCGGAUUAUGAGAAACAUUAGAUGAUCAUCCAUUUUUAUGUAUAUCUCUUUGUGACUCCCUAUAAAAGGGAGACACCUCUAAUGAAAUUUGAUUUUCUUCCUACGUUCUAAUUUCUCUUUCUUGUUUUCUUCUCCUUUCACUUUAUAAUUUUGCAACAUUUUUAUUAUUUUUUUUACUUCAUGAUUUUUAAAACUUGUGAUUUUAAUUUAAUGAAUGAAAAUAAUAAAUAUUAUAAUUUUAAAAUAAAUUUAUGAUUAUAAAAUAAGUUUUUGAUUUAAAAUUUCAAAUUUUAAAUUUAAAUUCUGAUUUUAAUUCAAAUUUAUAAUUUGAAACUAAUUUUAUGAUUUUUUAAAUAAAAAUUUAAUUUUUAAAUAAAAUAGAAAUUAUUAUUAUUAUUAUUAUUAUUAUUAUUAUUAUUAUUAUUAGUAAUUUUAAUAAUACAUAAUUUAUAUAUUUAUGGCAUCACCGGUUCAACCGCAGUUCGACUGUCGGUCCAACCAGUGAACCGUAAACUAGUAACUUUUCCGGUUCAAUGUCUAGUCCGGUUCUGAAAACAUUGGAAUUAAGUUCCUGUCAUGAAAUUAUUAUUUUUUUAUUCAUUUUUGUAUUUUCUUUCACUUUUUUGGAUUUAAAAAAAUAAUGAGAUGAGCAACAAGGGAGUUUUUUGUUCCUAUUUUAAAAAAAAAAUAUUGUAUGCAUCCAUUUUUUUUUCUUUUUCUUUAAUAAAUAUUUUGCCAAUUGUGUUUGUUGGAUUAUUAAGCCUGAAUCAGUUUUGUUAUACUUUGUUCAGGAUGUCGAAGAUCAAGCUAUUCGGUUAGCUCACAAGAGUCGAGCUUCCUGGUGAGCUCGUAGGAAUCAAGCUAUCCGGUUAGCUCGCAAGGGUCGAGCUUCCUAAUGAGCUCGUAGGGAUCAAGCUAUCCGAUCAACUCUUGGGGAUUGAAGGGAAUAGUGUCUCUAAAAAAAAAAAAUUAUGUGUUCAUUAACGAGUUUACCCCUAUUAUACAUUUAACCAUUUUAUAUUUAGGGUUUUAUUUUUUCUGAGACUAAGGUUGUAAUUUUUUUUUUAGAGUUUCACCAUUGUAACUCUUCUCUUUUGUUUUGAUUAAUGGACCGUUGAGUGUUGAUGCACUCCAUAGACAUAAGGAUCACAUGGAUCAUCGAACCAUAUUAAAAAUCUUGUAUUUUUCUUUAUUUUUUUUGCUCAUGUGGAUAGUUUGAUUUACAAUAUUAUAUUCUUAAUCAAUUAAUUUAACCAUGGAAUAUACUUACAUACUGGUUGAAUAUAAAAAGGGUAGAAAAUAAAAUAAAUAUAUAUAUUUAUUCCUUAUAUAUAUAUAAUAUUUAAAUGAGUUAUAGGUUGAUUCUUGCAAUAUUCAUAAUAGCAAUCAACAACCAUGUUUGAAUUAUUCAUCUUAUCUUCAAUAACUUUUUCUUGGCCAAUGAUGAGUUGGGUGAAGAAAAGGGUCGUUUGGUUUAUAAAAUUAACAAGAAUAAAGAGAUUGGCUUCAAAUUGGAUACUUUUCUCAUUAACAGAAUGUAGUAUAUAUAUACACAUGUUUGAUCUAAUCUUCUCCUAAAUUAUAGCUACAGAAUCAGAAAUAUGAGACUAAUUAUGCUCCUAUACAAUCAGCUAAUUAUGUCAAGAUAAUCAUACCAUAACUAACAUAUAAUUUCCUUAAUACUCCCCCUCAAGUUGGAGAGUGCAAAUCAAGAACUCCCAACUUGGUGCACAAAAAUUCGAACUGCUCCCUGCCAAGUGCCUUUGUAAAAACGUCCGCCAACUGCAUCUUUGUAGAAACAUAACACGGACGAAUUACCCCAGCUUGAAGUUUUUCUCGAACUAUAUGACAAUCAAUCUCAAUGUGUUUAGUACGUUCGUGAAAAACUGGGUUAGCCGCAAUAUAUAAAGCUGCUUGAUUAUCACAAAACAAUGGUGCUGGUUUGUCCAAUUCAACCUUCAAAUCUUUAAGUAUGUACCUCAACCAAGUCAAUUCCAGGCAAGUAUUCGCCAUUGCUCUGUACUCUGCUUCUGCUGACGAACGUGAAACAUUCGUUUGUUUUUUUGAUUUCCAAGAGAUGAGUGAUGAUCC